CGGGAACACGUACAGAACCUUCCUUUAAGCGGGGGAUAGCCCAUAGAAAUGUGGAUUAAUACCCCAUAAUAUUAUUGACUGGCAUCAGUUGAUAAUUAAAGAUUUAUCACUUAAAGAUGGCUGUGCGGCUGAUUAGGUAGUUGGUUGGGGUAACGGCCCACCAAGCCAUCGAUCAGUAACUGGUAUGAGAGCACGACCAGUCACACGGGCACUGAGACACGGGCCCG
rnacentral:rRNA from 1 species